ensembl:misc_RNA Metazoa_SRP Metazoan signal recognition particle RNA
GCUGGCAUGGUGGUGCAUGCCUGUAGUCCCAGCUACUCAGGAGGCUGAGGCAGGAGGAUCACUUGAGCCCAGGAGGUCAGGGCUGCAGGGAACUAUGAUGGCAUCACUGCACUCUAGCCUGGGCAACAGAGUGAGACCCUGUCUCAA